CUACGGGGCGCUGCAGUGAGGAAUAUUGCACAAUGGGGGGAACCCUGAUGCAACAACGCCGCGUGGAGGAUGACGCAUUUCGGUGUGUAAUCUCCUUUUAUAUGUCAAGAAAAUGACGGUAGCAUACGAAUAAGCACCGGCUAACUCCGUGCCAGCAGCCGCGGUAAUACGGAGGGUGCAAGCGUUACUCGGAAUCACUGGGCGUAAAGGACGCGUAGGCGGGUUGGAAAGUCAGGUGUGAAAUCCUACAGCUUAACUGUAGAACUGCACUUGAAACUUCUAAUCUAGAGUAUGGGAGGGGGAGAUGGAAUUAGUGGUGUAGGGGUAAAAUCCGUAGAUAUCACUAGGAAUACCUAAAGCGAAGGCGAUCUCCUGGAACAUUACUGACGCUAAGGCGUGAAAGCGUGGGGAGCAAACAGGCUUAGAUACCCGCGUAGUC
rnacentral:rRNA from 1 species